rnacentral:rRNA from 1 species
GCCAGACUCCUACGGGAGGCAGCAGUGGGGAAUAUUGGGCAAUGGGCGCAAGCCUGACCCAGCAACGCCGCGUGAAGGAAGAAGGCUUUCGGGUUGUAAACUUCUUUUCUUGGGGACGAAGAAAGUGACGGUACCCAAGGAAUAAGCCACAGCUAACUACGUGCCAGCCGCCGCGGUAAUACGUAGGUGGCACGCGUUAUCCGGAUUUAUUGGGUGUAAAGGGCGUGUAGGCGGGAAUGCAAGUCAGAUGUGAAAACUAUGGGCUCAACCCAGAGCCUGCAUUUGAAACUGUGUUUCUUGAGUGCUGGAGAGGCAGGCGGAAUUCCGUGUGUAGCGGUGAAAUGCGUAGAUAUACGGAGGAACACCAGUGGCGAAGGCGGAUUGCUGGACAGUAACUGACGCUGAGGCGCGAAAGCGUGGGGAGCAAACAGGAUUAGAUACCCCGGUAA